rnacentral:rRNA from 1 species
AGCAGCCGCGGUAAUUCCAGCUCCAAUAGCGUAUAUUAAAGUUGUUGCAGUUAAAAAGCUCGUAGUUGAAUUUCGGGAUCAAUAUUUCGGUCAUGCCGUUGGUAUGCACUGUUAUCAUUGAUUUCUCACCUUCUAAAGAACCGUGAUGCCAUUAAUUUGGUGUUACGGGGAAUUAGGACUGUUACCUUGAAAAAUUAGAGUGUUUAAAGCAGGCUCACGCUUGAAUACAUUAGCAUGGAAUAAUGAAAUAGGACAUCCGAUUCUAUUUUGUUGGUUUCUAGGAUCGAUGUAAUGAUUAAUAGGGAUAGUUGGGGGCAUUAGUAUUCAAUUGUCAGAGGUGAAAUUCUUGGAUUUAUUGAAGACUAACUACUGCGAAAGCAUUUGCCAAGGA